CGGUUAAGUUAGAAAGGGCGCACGGUGGAUGCCUUGGCACUAGGAGCCGAUGAAGGACGGGACGAACACCGAUA
rnacentral:rRNA from 1 species